rnacentral:rRNA from 1 species
AACGCGAAGAACCUUACCUGGGCUUGACAUGCAUCUCUAAGGCGGUGAAAGCCGUCGACUGUAGCAAUACAGAAUUUGCACAGGUGCUGCAUGGCUGUCGUCAGCUCGUGUCGUGAGAUGUUGGGUUAAGUCCCGCAACGAGCGCAACCCUUGUGGAUUGUUGCCACCGGAGAAAUCCGCGCACUCAAGCCAGACUGCCCAGUUAAACUGGGAGGAAGGUGGGGACGACGUCAAGUCCGUAUGGCCCUUACGCCCAGGGCUGCACACGUACUACAAUGCCCAGCACAAUGGGAACCCAAGCCGCGAGGUGGAGGAAAUCCUAUAAAACUGGGCUCAGUUCAGAUUGAAGGCUGCAACUCGCCUUCAUGAAGAUGGAAUCGCUAGUAAUGGCGCAUCAGCUACGGCGCCGUGAAUACGUUCCCGGGCCUUGUA